CUUGCCCACGAUUCUUUCUUCCUCCGCCGCCCACAACCUCUCCCUAGGGCCGGCGCCCUUCUCUCCCUCUCUGAUCAUCUCAGUUCAUCACCCUACCGCCCUGACCACAUCUGAGAUCCGCGUGACAGGGCAAAGCAUGAUGCGGCCGCAAGGAGCCCCUUUGAUGACUGAGCCGACUAGGGCUGGCGCGGGAGUCAUGCCCCAGGAGCUGAACGGCGCGGCAAAGGCGACGAAUCAGAGGUACCGCGGUGCCAGGAUAGCGACCAGCAACGUUGCAGGAGGUCGGAGCUGGCCGCGCUUUUCGUUCGUAGAUCAGAGAAGAAAGCUCAUGGCAGCAUGUGUGACCUCGCCUGCUGCGACAGUGGUCAGGGGUUCCAAACGCACCGCUGUGGAUGCCGCCGUUCUGGGUCGCCCCACUGGCUGUUCCUCCGUCAAUUUAGAUCCCAGAGUCGGAGAUGCAAAAUCCGCGGUCGCCUCCCUUUCUUCCUCAAAUCUCUCUAUUAAUCUCCUGAUUGGGUUAGAGUGGACUAAAAUAAUGCAAUGGAUGGGUUUGAAAUUUGUGUGCUAUCAUCUGGUUCCAUUGUUGAAAACAAGUAUACCUUCUCAUUUCAUCUGAUUUAUUCCUAUUGAGGACAUAAUUGUUACUUUAGGAGUUCCUGAUGUGUGACAAAUAUUGCCUUGGACAAGCCACGACAAGGUUACUUUGAUCAUUGCGAGAUUACAAAUGUUCCAUCCUAUUUGGCCUUUUCUUUGGUAAGCCAUCUGUUUCGUUAUAUGAUUCUUCUUCAAGGGCAGAUAUGUACAGAAUAGAUGAAUGGUCAAAGCAAAAUAAUUGGAUUGAGAAGUUCACCUUACAUGUGUUGUGCUGUUUGUAUUGUUUUUCCUAACAUUUUUUCUUCUUUGUAGAUUUUGUAGCGAUAUCUCAUCCGGUUAGACAAAGCACAUGGUGUUCACUGAAAUGCCUGGAAGAUAGAAUAUAAUUGUGUGAGUUAAGUAGAUACCUUAGAGAUGCUGGUUGAAGUUCCAAGUUAGGAAGAAAAUUUCUCUAGAUGUUUACUUCCUAAAAAUUUCUCAUUGCCUUCUCAAUUGGAUCAGUAAAUGGUUAUAAUUUCCUGUACCAAGUGAGCUGAAUACUCACACCUGACAACUUAUAGCUUGCAAGACGAGUUCAGCCCGGCCCAGUAUAUUGAUGUAUCAGAUAAAGAGGCACCCAAGAUCAGUAGACAUGUCGAUUUGGAACAAAGAAUAAUCACCAAGUUUCUGAAUAUAUGUCCGGUUGGUGCGUUAAAUUGUGUUCUCUAUCCCAUCUACUGCCACUGAAUUAUUUGGUAACUGUGUAUUCUUUUCCUUCGCUUAGAUCAUAUGCUUAUUUCUACUAAAGGGGGACAGGUGCAGUUCUUACAUAAUGUUGUUACAUUUCAGUAAUAAAUGUGUCAUGAUACGUAUUUUUGUGAUGUGUCAUUAAGAUAACGGUGGCAGUCUCAGUUUACUAAUCAAUUGAUGUUUUUAUAUUUGAUCUUCUCCUUCCAUAUCGUGUGUACUUGGCACUUCCAGAACCGUGUUUCCUAUUUUGUACACUCGGUUUUACCUUGCAAUCUUAUAAAGGGAUAAUCCUCACAAGAACUAAUCUACCAGUGUAACUAGCUUCCUGAACCAUAAUUUGCAUGCACUUUCUAUUAGUCGACACAGAAACCUCCUGAACCAUAUUUUGUAUACACUUCGUAUCACCUUACAUAGUUAUGGCAGUUGACUGUUCACUUUGGUUGUUACUUUUUCCUUUUCGCCACACUAAUAUUACAAAUUUGCUCUCAUCAUAGGGAAACACAAUGGAGAGAUGCAUACAAGUCAAUCAUAUAGAUAAAUUUACUGAUUAGUUUGUGUGCCAAAAAAUUUAAGGAUCACUAAAGGUAAAACAGGUUCACAUUCGCAUCUUACAUACACGAGCAGGAGACAAUAACUUUUGUCAGGUGCUCACUCUUGAUACUGCUUGCAUUUUCUGUCUUUUUCUAUUCAUCUUUUGCAUGUCAUACUAAUGGCGACUUAAUUUACUUAUGGAAUAUCCUGCAUGUUGUAUCUGCAAUUCUGCAGUUGCCUACAGGUCAUUUUAAAUUGGAGAAUACUCUGUUCAACACUUGCAUAUACUCUCAUGUACAUUAACUUAAAUUUGCAGUGAAAUAGAUUGCAAAAUCUAAUAUUGGUAUACCAAUUUUGUGAGGCAAGGCUUUGUUUCUUGGUUCUCAACAUUUACAAAGGCAUUUCGUUCUAAGGAUACCGAUAGGAUUAUAAUGCUACUGCGAGUAAAUGAGAGGCAUCAUUGAAAGUUAUGGUAUAUACUGGAGUACUGGACCUGGAUGAAUUUACAUACUCUUAAUGUUAUUUAAAGAUUCUUCGAGUGUUGAAAGCAACUUCAUGCUUCAUAUAUCUGUUCAGGUCUGUAACUCAUAAUCCAGUUUUCUUCCUUAUAAGAAAUGGACGAUGUCACAUAUUUAUCUUUGUGUUAAAUUAUGUAUCAGAUGGCUAAUAGCUAUCAUUUGAGAACGAGUAAUAGUAGCCGUUCUAGGUGAACCAAGCUUAGUUUGAUUUAAUUGUUCAUUUUAAGUAUUGAAUGGAUAGUUGGUGGUUAGGGAUAUUUCAACAAAAUAUACUAUGGUCAAACUAAGACUUUCCUUUUUAUUCUUGGCAUUGUGAUUAAUUUCCACUCCACAGGAAUGGAUGAAGGAGUAUGGAGAAGUAUAUGCCAUGAAAAGAGUUUCACAUUGUUUGUAGAUUAUUGUAUUUCCUAUGGUUUGUCAGAAUAUAGUAUACACUUAUUUCAACAUUUCACAUAUAAGGUCUUUGGUGAAUGGUCCGAUGUUCAAAUGAUGAUCCUCACAGUUGCGUACAUUGGAAAUAGGGCCAACUAAAUUAUUCUCUGAAAUUUUCUUUUUGUAGCUACGGAUGUUGAACAUGUCUUUUUUACAAGGGAUCCACUUUACUAAACUGCAGGUAUAUAGAGCGAUGCAGAUAAUGAGUGUGCCAAAGCUGGACCUAGGCCCUGUUGUCACUACCCACUUGCAGCUGGGAUGGAUCAGAGAGCGCCACCUUGACAAUGCACGACAACAGGCCCUAUCACCGACACUCUCAGGUGGACACGAAGCACAAGAAACUCACAAGUCUGAACUUCAGUGUGCCAAAUUCAGUUUGAGUUUCUGAAAGAGUGAUGUUUCUUAGUCUUAACUAUGAAAUUUAAUUUUCUCAUUGUUCAACAGAAUAUACCUGGGUGGGAUAUUUGGAUGAUAAGAGUAUGCAUAUACAUGUUGUGCAACCAUGUUUUCGAUUCA